UGGGGAGUUCAUCUAUAAUUGUCAUUAUCUUUUUUGAUUAUUUUAUAUUUCUAUACUAAAAUAAUAACUAUUAUAGCUGUAUUAUGAUAGAAAAAUAAUGGAUAACAAUGGAAAAUAAUGAUGUCAUUUUCCACUGUUCGGUCAUUAAAUAUUAUUCUUUAAGAUUUGAAAUUUAUUAAUUCAAUUGACAAAUAUCGGCUCAAAAAAAGUAG
rnacentral:lncRNA from 1 species